AAUACCUAUUGAUGAGGGAAUAUUUAUAGGGGGGCAAUUUUACUGUGCUACCCCUAGAGGUUACUAUUAACUUGGAGCCAUGUGUGCUAGUAAAGGCCAAUGGGCGAUCGCCACGUGUCAAGACUUAGGAGUUCCGCUUAUCUUUAUAAUCUUUAUUAUGAUUUUGAAUUGGAAAGAGAUAAAGAAGAAGAUUAAGUCAACCAAUGAUAUCUUUAAAUAUCUCAAGAAUUAUCUCUAUUAGGGAAGAUUAUCUUUUCUCCCCAUGGAAAGGGGAUCAACCUCUCCUUUUGAAAUAUAUCUUAUCUCCUAAGGGAAAGGCCACGGGACAUCUAUAAAUAGAGGACAGGCUCUACAGGGAUCUGAUCUGACUCCUAAGGGACUCUUUUACUAUCUUCCAUUACUAUUAUACUCCUCAAAAACCCUAUGAACUGACUUGAGCGUCGGAGGGAUCACGGGGAGCGAGUCCCCACCCUUUUUGCAGGUACUUGGUCCGAGACAGAAGAAGGUGAUCGGCUCCGCAUCAUCAAUUGGCGCCCACCGUGGGGCCUUCGUCUUUUCCUUCUGUUUUCCAAGUACAAUUUCAAGCCGUAGGAAAUCUAUUCAACUCAAUUACACGUAUUUGCUGAUUGCAUCAUGGGUACGCUUGUUUCUCUUUUAAUAUUUUUUGUGCCUCCUACGAUUUUAUUUUUCAAUUAUUGUUUUAUGUAAAAAUAAUUGAAAGAGAAGGCCAAAAGAUUCAUAUAUAUAUAUAUGUUCAAUCACAUAAAAGAAGCGUAAUUCUGCCAUUACAUUCAUAUUAUAUGAAUAUAUAUAUGUUGGAGAAAAGCUUAUCAUGGAAGCCUAGCGGAGUAAAUAAGAAGAGAGGUGUUAUAUUAUAAUAUUAAAGGGGAAGACUUCCUGGAAAGGGAGUAUAUACCCAGAAACCACCAUGGAUGAGCCAGGCGAUGCCCGCAGCAAGCAGCGAUAAUGGUUGCGGCGGAAGCUCCGUUAAUAUCGCUUUGGUUAAAACUUAUUUCCCUUGUUUUAUCAUUCUAGUGUUUUAACUACUAUUUAUUGGAGAAUUGCUAGAUAUAUGCAAAAGGUUUUAAUUUGAAUUGCUUGAUAGAUAUGCUCCAAUGACUCGAAUUUUAAUUGAUUCUGUUAAAAUGUUCGGGAUUAAUAACGUUAGCAGACGAAAGGCUCGCCCCGAACACCUGCGGAUGUAGGCGUUAUGCCGAACCGCAAAAAUAAAAUACUCUAUUUAAUUGCGGACGUAGGCGUUACGCCGAACCGCGAAAACAAAAUAUUUGUUAUUCUUUAAUUGCGGAUGUAGGCGUUACGCCGAACCGCGAAGACAAAAUAUUAUUAUUCUUUAAUUGCGGACGUAGGCAUUUCACCGAACCGCGAAAAUAAAAUAAGGAUAUUAUUUGAAAUCCCGUCAUCAACUACAAUCCAAGCCAACAUGUGCGAAUGAAAACCGAAGGUCCGAAAGGCCUCAACAACGCAAGAGUAAAGGAUCAGAUGUGAUCCUUGGGGGGCCCCGAACCCCCGAACACUGAAAAACAAGGGAUCAGAUAUGAUCCUCGGGGGGCCUCGAACCCUCGAACACUCAAGAUGAAGGGAUCAGAUAUGAUCCUCGGGGGGCCUCGAACCCUCGAACACUCAAGAUGAAGGGAUCAGAUAUGAUCCUCGGGGGGCCUCGAACCCUUGAACACUUAAGAUGAAAGGAUCAAAUGUGAUCCUCGCAGGGCCUCGAACCCCUAACCAGAAAACAUGAACGACUCAAAGGGGACCACCCCUACUAAUUAAGGCACCAGUUCGGAGGCUACGAAUCUCCGCCACAUGAAGACCAAAGGGGACCACCCCUACUAAUUAAGGUACCAGUUCGGAGGCUAUGAACCUCGACCAAAUGAAGACCAAAAGGUAUCAGUUCGGAGGCUAUGAACCUCCACCAAGUGAAGACCAAAGGGGACCACCCCUACUAAUUAAGGCACUAGUUCGGAGGCUACG